GGUGAACGCUAGCGAUAGGCUUAACACAUGCAAGUCGAGGGGCAGCAUAUUCGAAGCUUGCUUUGAAUGAUGGCGACCGGCGCACGGGUGCGUAACGCGUAUGGAAUCUGCCUAUUAGUGGGGGACAACAUCUCGAAAGGGAUGCUAAUACCGCAUACGUCCUACGGGAGAAAGCAGGGGAUCUUCGGACCUUGCGCUAAUAGAUGAGCCUAAGUCGGAUUAGCUAGUUGGUGGGGUAAAGGCCUACCAAGGCGACGAUCUGUAGCGGGUCUGAGAGGAUGACCCGCCACACUGGGACUGAGACACGGCCCAG
rnacentral:rRNA from 1 species